rnacentral:rRNA from 3 species
AAAUUGAAGAGUUUGAUCAUGGCUCAGAUUGAACGCUGGCGGCAGGCCUAACACAUGCAAGUCGAACGGUAACAGGAAGCAGCUUGCUGCUUUGCUGACGAGUGGCGGACGGGUGAGUAAUGUCUGGGAAACUGCCUGAUGGAG